rnacentral:rRNA from 1 species
UACGGAGGGUGCAAGCGUUAUCCGGAUUCACUGGGUUUAAAGGGUGCGUAGGUGGGUCUGAAAGUCAGUGGUGAAAUCUCCGGGCUCAACCCGGAAACUGCCAUUGAUACUACAGGUCUUGAAUUUUCUGGAGGAUAGCGGAAUAUGUCAUGUAGCGGUGAAAUGCUUAGAUAUGACAUAGAACACCAAUUGCGAAGCAGCU